rnacentral:lncRNA from 1 species
UGGAACUAAGAAGAUUUGAAGAAUCGAUCGACAGAGGAAUCGAGGUACAGAAGGAUCGAGGGACAGAGGAAUCGCCGGCCUUGGUGGUGCGUUUCCAUCGGUGGUGUGUUUCAAUCCUUCCUCUGUCACGGAGAACACGAGAAGACAGAGAGACGGUGGUGGUUUCGAUUGGUGGUGGUUUCGAACCUUUCUUUCGAACAGUGGUGGUUUCGAUCGGUGGAGGAUCGGUGGUGGUUUGGAGAAUCGGUGGAGGAUCGGGGGAGGAUCGGUGGUGGUUUCUAUCGGUGGAGGAUCGAUCGAUGGAGGAUCGGUGGUGAUCUGUGUGGAUGAUCGGUGGUGGUGGCGAUGGGUUUCGCCUCUGUCCUUCAAACAGAGAAAACGAGAAGACAGAGCGACGA